rnacentral:rRNA from 1 species
GAUGAACGCUGGCGGCGUGCCUAAUACAUGCAAGUCGAGCGCAGCGGGGACGGGUGAGUAACACGUGGAUAACCUCCUAUACGACCGGGACAACUUCGGGAAACCGGAGCUAAACCGGAUAUUUACAGAUUGCUCCGCGUUGCAUGAGCUAGUUGUUAAGGCAACGGCUUACCAAAGGAACGAUGCAUAGCCGACCUGAGAGGGUGAUCGGCAACACUGAAACAGAGACACGGUCCAGACUCCUACGGGAGUCAGCAGUAGGGAAUCUUCCAGUAUGGGCGAAGGUCGGAAGGAGCAACGCCGCGUGAUUGAUAAAUGUCUUCGGAUCGUAAAACUCUGUUAUUAGGGAAGCGAUACCUAAACAGAAAGCAACAGCUAACUACGUGCCAGCAGCCGCGGUAAUAC